GUGCCAGCAGCCGCGGUAAUACGUAGGCAGCGAGCGUUGUUCGGAGUUACUGGGCGUAAAGAGUGCGUAGGUGGUUUUCUAAGUUUGGUGUGAAAUCUCCCGGCUUAACUGGGAGGGUGCGCCGAAAACUGGGAGACUGGAGUGUGGGAGAGGAAAGCGGAAUUCCUGGUGUAGCGGUGAAAUGCGUAGAUAUCAGGAGGAACACCUGCGGUGUAGACGGCUUUCUGGACCACUACUGACACUGAGGCACGAAAGCGUGGGUAGCAAACAGGAUUAGAAACCCCGGUAGUCC
rnacentral:rRNA from 1 species